rnacentral:rRNA from 1 species
GGCGGACGGGUGAGUAAUGCUUGGGAACAUGCCUUGAGGUGGGGGACAACAGUUGGAAACGACUGCUAAUACCGCAUAACGUCUACGGACCAAAGGGGGCUUCGGCUCUCGCCUUUAGAUUGGCCCAAGUGGGAUUAGCUAGUUGGUGAGGUAAUGGCUCACCAAGGCGACGAUCCCUAGCUGGUUUGAGAGGAUGAUCAGCCACACUGGGACUGAGACACGGCCCAGACUCCUACGGGAGGCAGCAGUGGGGAAUAUUGCACAAUGGGCGCAAGCCUGAUGCAGCCAUGCCGCGUGUGUGAAGAAGGCCUUCGGGUUGUAAAGCACUUUCAGUCAGGAGGAAAGGUUAGUAGUUAAUACCUGCUAGCUGUGACGUUACUGACAGAAGAAGCACCGGCUAACUCCGUGCCAGCAGCCGCGGUAAUACGGAGGGUGCGAGCGUUAAUCGGAAUUACUGGGCGUAAAGCGUAC